GUCUCCGUAGGUGAACCUGCGGAGGGAUCAUUACAGAGUUUUUAACUCCUAAAACCAUGUGAACUUACCACUGUUGCCUCGGUGGAAGGUACCCGAAAGGGUGCUGGAAGCCGGCGGACAUCUAAACUCUUGUUAAUUUUUGUUAUUCUGAAUCAAACUAAGAAAUAAGUUAAAACUUUCAACAACGGAUCUCUUGGUUCUGGCAUCGAUGAAGAACGCAGCGAAAUGCGAUAAGUAAUGUGAAUUGCAGAAUUCAGUGAAUCAUCGAAUCUUUGAACGCACAUUGCGCCCAUUAGUAUUCUAGUGGGCAUGCCUGUUCGAGCGUCAUUUCAACCCUUAAGCCUAGCUUAGUGUUGGGAGACUGCCUAAUACGCAGCUCCUCAAAACCAGUGGCAGAGUUUUUACGUACUCUGAGCGCAGUAAUUCUAUUCUCGCUUUUGAACACGUCUAGACGAUAGCCAAAAACCGCUUGCCUCGGCAGCACUUUUUAAUGGUUGACCUCGGAUCAGGUAGGAAUACCCGCUGAACU
rnacentral:rRNA from 1 species